CUGAACUAAAACUUCAACAUUGUAUUUCAGGUAAAAUCCUCUGACAUUCCUCUCCGAAAUCCAGAUGCUUCGUCACGUCUUAGCUCCCAUAGCGCGUUCGGUAAUGAAAGACACAUCAUCAAAUAACCGUUACCGUUCUCACAUGAUCCACAAUAAUAGACUUUAAUUUGCGUAAUAAAAUAUGCCUAACUUCCUUUACAUAAUGAAGCGGUGAUGAUACGAAUUCUUUCCGGAAACCCUAAUCUUAUACUUAUAUUUACAUAUGGGCAGAUCUUAAUCAUGCAUUGACAAUUCAAGACAUUGCGCGAUAACUUUAGAGAGAUUCAGAGAUUGCACUGAUAAAGGAAAUAUUCAAGAUUUAAGGGAUGACACAAACAAUACUAGUGCAUGUGUCAAAAGUUUGAGAUAGAGACCUUAUAUAGGCCUAUGCAUAUACGGCCAAAAUGUGACGACAACGGCUAUUAAUACAAUGAAAUUCAUGUUUUAAGAAAAAGAAAUAAAUAAUUAAAAGCCAACAGGAGGAUUUUGACGCCUUAUCACUGAGUUUGGGAAUAAACUUGCUUGGAGCAAAAUAGAUAUAUUACUAUAAAGCUUUACUUCCCUGUUGAAAGUGCUCGGCUGAGUGCUAUGAUGCUAUCGCGGGGCUCAACCAUGGGGGGCCAGGGGGCAUGUCUCCCUUGCGUUUCCGAAGCCUCGAAAGAGCAUUUUUCGCGUUUCCUGAGAGGAGUUUUAUUCUAAGUUUGUGUAUUUAAUUUUGUAGUGAACUCUGUAUAUAUUUUCACACCCUGAAGCAUGAAUGAAUUGGUUUUUCUCCCUAUUGAUAUAUACACAAUAUCAAUGUAGCCUAACAACAAAUUUAAAUUUCUAUUACGGAUAAGUUGAUUCAGCAAUAGACAAUUCCAGCAUACGGUUGGCCUUUGCCACAACAUUUCGGAUAUGCUGUGACCACUUUAAGUCGCUGCUUACUUGGAUACCGAGAUCUCGUUGAGUGGAUUCAAAUGGGAUACGUUCGUUGUUAAGAUGGUACUCUGGUUGUUGGAUGGAUCUCUUUCGUGAAAAUCUGAUUAUUGAGCAUUUCUUAUAACUAAAUUUUAAGUCCCAAGUAGACGACCAAUUACAGAGCGAGUUAAUGUCAGAUUGCAGAAGGUUGCUGUCUUGUGAAUUGUGAACAGAUCGAAAACAUUUGCUGUCAUCCGCAAACAUGGGAACCAAACUGUUAUUAACCGACUCGGGAAGAUCGUUUGCGUAAAUUAGGAAAAGCAAAGGCCCGAUGAUACUGCCUUGUGGUACUCCAGAUGUUACGUCCAGGUACGUAGAAGAAUAUCCGUCAAUAGAGACCUUAAGAUUGACGUUUACGGCGAACGUCAAACCGCUAGCGAAGUUUUUGAUUCUACAACUCUAUUAUAAUAGCUUUUACACC
rnacentral:lncRNA from 1 species